rnacentral:rRNA from 1 species
AGAGUUUGAUCAUGGCUCAGAUUGAACGCUGGCGGCAUGCCUUACACAUGCAAGUCGAACGGCAGCACGGGAGCAAUCCUGGUGGCGAGUGGCGAACGGGUGAGUAAUAUAUCGGAACGUGCCCAGUCGUGGGGGAUAACGUAGCGAAAGCUACGCUAAUACCGCAUACGAUCUACGGAUGAAAGCGGGGGACCUGUAAGGGCCUCGCGCGAUUGGAGCGGCCGAUAUCAGAUUAGGUUGUUGGUGAGGUAAAAGCUCACCAAGCCUGCGAUCUGUAGCUGGUCUGAGAGGACGACCAGCCACACUGGAACUGAGACACGGUCCAGACUCCUACGGGAGGCAGCAGUGGGGAAUUUUGGACAAUGGACGCAAGUCUGAUCCAGCAAUGCCGCGUGCAGGACGAAGGCCUUCGGGUUGUAAACUGCUUUUGUACGGAACGAAACGGUCUGCUUUAAUACAGUGGGCUAAUGACGGUACCGUAAGAAUAAGCACCGGCUAACUACGUGCCAGCAGCCGCGGUAAUACGUAGGGUGCGAGCGUUAAUCGGAAUUACUGGGCGUAAAGCGUGCGCAGGCGGUUAUAUAAGACAGAUGUGAAAUCCCCGGGCUCAACCUGGGACCUGCAUUUGUGACUGUAUAGCUAGAGUACGGUAGAGGGGGAUGGAAUUCCGCGUGUAGCAGUGAAAUGCGUAGAUAUGCGGAGGAACACCGAUGGCGAAGGCAAUCCCCUGGACCUGUACUGACGCUCAUGCACGAAAGCGUGGGGAGCAAACAGGAUUAGAUACCCUGGUAGUCCACGCCCUAAACGAUGUCAACUGGUUGUUGGGUCUUCACUGACUCAGUAAACGAAGCUAACGCGUGAAGUGACCCGCCUGG